UAUAGACUUGUAUCUCACAUUAAUGAUGACUAGCAUGAAGCCCAAACCUAUAUGUUGUCCACCAUAAAGCCCAAACCCAGCGGAAUGGUCUUUAAUUUUUAACGGCAAAAAACCCUUUCUGUCUCCCCAUCUUUUGCUUUACCCCUGUUUCACGGUUUCAAGCUUGCUAACGGCAGUUUCUCUCUCUUCCAAAGACAAUUUCAAAUCUUCACAGUUCAGACUUCAGAUUCAUAAUGCCAGGGCUCUCACGGCUCUUCCUUCCUCCCGAUGUUCAAGUCCUUUCAGUUGCUGCCGUUUCAAAAAAACCAAAGUGCCAUGACUACACAAUUGAAGAGCUCAUCACCAAGAGCUUCAAUAACGUCAUCUAGCAAUCAGAUUGGCUAGAUGAAUAUGGAGAAAGGUGAAUUUCAUGUAAGACGUGGUUGAGAUUUGUAAUAGAAAUUGGAUGUGAAGUUGACCACAAAGCACUUGCAUGCCUUAAAAUCAAAUCCACCAUCUGGUAUGGUUGUGCAUAUUCUACCUCCAAUUCUUAGAGU